AGAGUUUGAUCCUGGCUCAGAUUGAACGCUGGCGGCAUGCCUUACACAUGCAAGUCGAACGGCAGCACGGAGCUUGCUCUGGUGGCGAGUGGCGAACGGGUGAGUAAUAUAUCGGAACGUACCCUGGAGUGGGGGAUAACGUAGCGAAAGUUACGCUAAUACCGCAUACGAUCUAAGGAUGAAAGUGGGGGAUCGCAAGACCUCAUGCUCGUGGAGCGGCCGAUAUCUGAUUAGCUAGUUGGUGGGGUAAAGGCUCACCAAGGCAUCGAUCAGUAGCUGGUCUGAGAGGACGACCAGCCACACUGGAACUGAGACACGGUCCAGACUCCUACGGGAGGCAGCAGUGGGGAAUUUUGGACAAUGGGCGCAAGCCUGAUCCAGCAAUGCCGCGUGAGUGAAGAAGGCCUUCGGGUUGUAAAGCUCUUUUGUCAGGGAAGAAACGGUGAGAGCUAAUAUCUCUUGCUAAUGACGGUACCUGAAGAAUAAGCACCGGCUAACUACGUGCCAGCAGCCGCGGUAAUACGUAGGGUGCAAGCGUUAAUCGGAAUUACUGGGCGUAAAGCGUGCGCAGGCGGUUUUGUAAGUCUGAUGUGAAAUCCCCGGGCUCAACCUGGGAAUUGCAUUGGAGACUGCAAGGCUAGAAUCUGGCAGAGGGGGGUAGAAUUCCACGUGUAGCAGUGAAAUGCGUAGAUAUGUGGAGGAACACCGAUGGCGAAGGCAGCCCCCUGGGUCAAGAUUGACGCUCAUGCACGAAAGCGUGGGGAGCAAACAGGAUUAGAUACCCUGGUAGUCCACGCCCU
rnacentral:rRNA from 1 species